GGACGCGUGCCCGAGACUUAAGGGUUACUUUGAUAGAGUAAAAUACAGGGAUUCAUACCCCCUCGCCUCCU
rnacentral:tRNA from 1 species